UAUAAUAAUAUAUAAUAUUACAAUAUAUUGUAUAUGCAUAUAAUAUUAGUAAUAUUAUUUUGUAAUAUAAUACUAAUAAUACAAUAUAAUAUUAAUUAUAUAUUAUAUAUUACAUUUAAUAUUACUAAUAAUAUUACAAUAUAUGGAUAUAGUACAGUAUAGUAAUUUAUUGCUAGUAUUGUGCUAUGCUAAUAAUAUAAUAUUGUAUGUAAAUUUAAUUUGUAAGCCGCUAUGAGUCCCCUUUGGGGUGAGAAGGGCGGGAUAUAAAUGUCGCUAAUAAAUAAUAAUAAAUAACACUAUUCUUCACUCUUAUGAAGCAGGGCCACCAGUCGUCAUAAGAAAUAAAGAGAAGGAGAGAAAGAAUACAAAUCGCGAAGACUCUGCUACUUCCAAGAACUCGAUUCCUUCCAAGUCAAAGGUAAUGAAUUCCCGAAGACCUUGACACUGAAAAUAUUCUACGAAUGAAGAUUUUGUGGCAAUAAGAACAAACCACCCUGAUGGACAGAGAGAGAGUUUGGCAAGAUUGGACAGAAUGGGCAGGAAGAAUCUUUUGUCUGAAUUGUACGACGGUAUGUUCAGAGGAUCUAAGCCCAGUCAUUUGGCCUUCUCUUGCUCACACUUGGCAUUGAUCGGGGUGUUUGCUUUUGAGGGCUGUCCUGGGGAGGACACGGAUGCCAGCCCUCAGGGACUGCGUUCGUUCGAGAAAGCCUUGCCUAAGACAAAACAGGCGCCAAUGGCUCUUUGUGUGUGUCAGAGAAGCAUGUAGUGUUUGAAGCUGAACACUUCCCCAGACAGGAGGAGGCAGGCGUUUCUUGAAAGUUGGAGCUGUGCAAAGAGGAGAAAGUGAGGCCUCUUAAGCCAGCACUGAGCAAGAGAAGGGACCGAGGGGUGGAGGGAAAGAAGGGAUGAAAGAAGGAAGGAAGGAGAGAAGGAAGGGAAGGAGAGAAGGAAGGAAGGAGAGAAGGAAAGAAAGAAAGAAGGAGAGAAGGAAAAAAGAGAUGAAAGACAAAAGGAGGGAAGGAAAGAAGGAGAGAAGG